rnacentral:rRNA from 1 species
GAGUUUGAUCCUGGCUCAGAACGAACGCUGGCGGCAGGCCUAACACAUGCAAGUCGAGCGCACCUUCGGGUGAGCGGCGGACGGGUUAGUAACGCGUGGGAACGUACCCUUUUCUACGGAAUAGCCUUUGGAAACGAAGAGUAAUACCGUAUACGCCCUUUGGGGGAAAGAUUUAUCGGAGAAGGAUCGGCCCGCGUUAGAUUAGAUAGUUGGUGGGGUAACGGCCUACCAAGUCUACGAUCUAUAGCUGGUUUUAGAGGAUGAUCAGCAACACUGGGACUGAGACACGGCCCAGACUCCUACGGGAGGCAGCAGUGGGGAAUCUUAGACAAUGGGCGCAAGCCUGAUCUAGCCAUGCCGCGUGAGUGAUGAAGGCCUUAGGGUCGUAAAGCUCUUUCGCCUGUGAUGAUAAUGACAGUAGCAGGUAAAGAAACCCCGGCUAACUCCGUGCCAGCAGCCGCGGUAAUACGGAGGGGGUUAGCGUUGUUCGGAAUUACUGGGCGUAAAGCGCACGUAGGCGGAUUGGAAAGUUGGGGGUGAAAUCCCGGGGCUCAACCCCGGAACUGCCUCCAAAACUAUCAGUCUAGAGUUCGAGAGAGGUGAGUGGAAUUCCAAGUGUAGAGGUGAAAUUCGUAGAUAUUUGGAGGAACACCAGUGGCGAAGGCGGCUCACUGGCUCGAUACUGACGCUGAGUGCGAAAGUGUGGGGAGCAAACAGGAUUAGAUACCCUGGUAGUCCACACCGUAAACGAUGA